UCUCUCUCUCUCUCUCUCUCUCUCUCUCUCUCUCUCUCUCUCUCCUUUUAAACACACGAUUUAAACACUAUAAGAUUUUUCCCCUUGUAUAGUAGAAAUAUUGUGUAGCUCUUCCUCCUGACAUCUGUACAGAUUUUUCUUUGCUUUCACUGAAGCAGGAAAUACAUCUGUGUCAUUUCCUGUCACUCGUUCGACCGUGUGAAGCAUCACCUAGAAUGAGAGGUUGGUGAUGGUGUAGCAGGCACACCUUAGGAACACCUCUUGGUGUUCUCCUACGAGGAUGUUUCCAAGGUCGAGGUUCAGGUUUGUCACCGUGCAUUCUACGGAGCUCUGCGAUCAGAUUUGGGUCCAGGUGUCAGCACUUUACGACGCUCAGUUCCGGUUUUGGUGACAUCACUUCCAGCUUCUUCACUUUCAUUCGGGAGUCUCGUGAAGUCAAGUCAAGACUUUAGAGCAGUCAGAGGUAAAGCUGGACCAUUACAGACAUGAUCUUCAGGGCAGAGGAGAUUGAACUUACAGGUUUCUCUGUAACACCCAAAGCUGUAUGGAUUUCAUUCAUUAACUUCAAAAACAGAAAUAUAUAUUUUUUAAAAGUUUAAUGCUGCUUUAACAUAGGUGAGAACGUGACUAUGUGGACAUAUAAAAUUAUUUAUUAUAUAUGUCACUUUUUUAAUAGUUUUUUGUCAGAUAUUUUUUUUCUCACAUUUAUUUGUAGCUUAUUGCUUAUUCUAUUUAAUUUGCUUCUGCUGUGUUGUAUUAGAUUUUUUAAAUCCCUCUUUUGACUAUUUUUUAU